rnacentral:lncRNA from 1 species
UUAAAAAAUAAAAUUAUAAAAGUUUUGAUGGUGCCCUCAAAACACUUUCAAAGUCACCAACUCCCAUGAUGGGGCACCUCCAUGCCACUCUUACUCCUUUCUAAAUGGCUUCGUAAAUUGAACUCCGUUUGGAUCGGACAAGCAAACAAGAAAAUUAUGAGCUCGAAAUCGAAGUGUCAUGCCGCAAUUCCUCCAAUUAAUUAAGAAAUAUAUUUUCGCAAAAAGGCUUCUGUCUACAGUUAACCCCCGAGUUGGGGAAAGUGCCUGUGUCAGGUACAGUCUGUGCCCACUAAUUCUGGUUCUAAUUAAUUAUUAACUGAUUACUAAUUAAUAAAGACCACAAAGAGCGUUCUGAUUUUCUCUUUAGUUUUGUUAGGUUGUGGUGCUAGUGCACGUUCCUUUACUUUAAUGGCUGUAAUUUGUAAACUAAUAAAAUAAUUUUUUUUUUUAACUGAUUAAGCAUAAGGUUAUUGUAUUACACAUAAAUAUUUACAAUUAUUACUGUUAUGACAGCAAGUCAUUGCACUGAUAUUUAUAAGCAGAUAUAUAUUUAGGACUUACAUUAUUACAUAUUUAUUCUAUCAAGUACAUAUCCAAUCAAAUAUCCCUCACAGAUGAGGGAUGUCUCUACUCCACUCGUAUUUUGUAAGGGAGAAAAACGUUAUAAGUAGUAUCCACACAAUUAUAUUUAGUUGAGAGAGAUUGAGUCCUUGGGGACUCGAACCAUUGCCCUCAUAGCCAUACUUGACUUUAAGGGCAAUGGUUUACCAUUGGGCUACAAGCCCAAGUGGCAACUAAUAAAACUAAUUAAAUACGAUUUAGGGAGCUUUUAAAAAAUGAAAAAUAAAUAUGGUCCAAGGCUUUGCGUAAUUGGCUGAUAGUGACUUUUUUGUUUGAAGAUAAAAGAACCUAAAACAUAACUUUUGAAUCCAAGCUGUCCUUAAUCUUUGAGAUCAGGAUCCUCUCUUGAUCUGAGCACUUCUGGUCUUUUAUAGAUCUUCUGCCAUCUGUAUUUUAGUAUUAGUGAAUGAUUAGAAUUUAAUUACUUUUUUUUUAAUUUAUUAAUCACUAAUUAUAUUAACAGAAUUUAUUUAUAUGAAGAUCAGAUUAGGAGAGAAUCUUGAUCAUAAUCUAUGUUGUUUCCGUAGAUAAUAAAUUCGUUAUGAUGUAGCUAAAGAGUGGAUAUUGGUUUGCAUUUACGAUUAAUUGCGAAAUAACUCGAGGAAGAACAUAUAUAUAUAUCACAAGAUACCUACGAUUGGCAAUGCACUCAAUUAAUUGCAUCAUCACGACAUUGCAGGCAGAGAUUUUUUCAAAAAUAUUUUUAAGGAGUGCAUUGAUGUAAAUUAUUGUUCUCAACUUUCAAGCUAAGUGAGCUAAAUUAAAGCAGUAAAGAUCAAUUACGUGACAAGAUUUAGCAAUGUAGCAUGGUCUCUUUGGAAAACGAGCUCAUGCAUGCAUAAUGCGUAGUUCUAGAGUACAUAAUUAAUUAAGGAUGGUGCUUGACACCCCCCCCCCCCCCCCCAAACAAAAAAAAAAGGUAAUAUGAUAAUAAUUAUGCUCAGAUUCAAUUCUGAUAAUGUCAAGUCUUGUAUACGUAGGCCUUUCUCAGUCGAAAAUAACAUUGCAUGCAUUCACAAAUAUGCAAACAUCUCGAUCUACAAAUACAACAUCCAGAAAUUAAAGAAAUAUAUUUUAAUAAUUACAAUUGUAUUACAUCAAUUGGGAAUAGUGCGUACAAUGGCCCUCUCAUCGUCA